rnacentral:rRNA from 1 species
AGAUACCCGGGUAGUCCUAGGUGUAAACGCUGUGAACUUGGUGUCGGGGGUCCGCAAGGGGUCCCCGGUGCCGGAGUGAAGAUGUUAAGUUCACUGCCUGGGGAGUACGGUCGCAAGGCUGAAACUUAAAGGAAUUGGCGGGGGAGCACUGCAACGGGAGGAGCGUGCGGUUUAAUUGGAUUCAACGCCGGAAAACUCACCAGGGCCGACUGUUAUAUGAAGACCAGCGUAACGAGCUUGUCGGAUUUUCAGAGAGGUGGUGCAUGGCCGUCGUCAGUUCGUACUGUAAAGCGUUCUGUUAAGUCAGAUAACGAACGAGACCCUCAUCUCUAUUUGCAACCUGUCUCUCCGGAGGCGGCGCACUAUAGAGAGACCGCUGGUGUGAAACCAGAGGAAGGCGAGGGCAACGACAGGUCAGUAUGCCCCGAAUGUCCUGGGCUACACGCGCGCUACAAAGGACGGGACAAUGGGAAGCUAGGCCGAGAGGCCACGCUAACCCGAAACCCGUUCAUAGUUCGGAUUGAGGGCUGUAACUCGCCCUCAUGAAGCUGGAUUCCGUAGUAAUCGUGUUUCAAUAUAGCACGGUGAAUAUGCCCCUGCUCCUUGCACACACCGCCCGUCAAACCAUCUUAGUUGGGGGUGGGUGAGGCUGCGCUUUAUGGCGUAUUCGAGCCUGCCUUCGACAAGGAGGGUUAAGUCGUAACAAGGUAUCUGUAGGGGAACCUGCAGAUG